ACCUGGGAUAGCUCAGUUUGUAGAGCAUGGGAAUGUGGGUCAGGGUUGUGGGUUUGAGUCCCACAUUGGGCA